AACGAUCGUUAGCGAGAUGUUUUAAGCAUGCAAGUCGAGCGGCAGCACUUCGGGUGGCGAGCGGCAAACGGGUGAGUAAUAGUUAGUUUAUCUGCCUUUUAGACUGGGAUAGUUACUAGAAAUAGUAGGUAAUACCGGAUACAGAGAUAUGUAAAAAUAUCUUGAAAGGUGCGUUGGCAUCACUAGAAGAUGAGACUAACUCCUAUUAGUUUGUUGGUGGGGUAAUAGCCUACCAAGGCGAUGAUAGGUAGCCGGCCUGAGAGGGUGAUCGGCCACAUUGGGACUGAGAUACGGCCCAGACUCCUACGGGAGGCAGCAGCUAAGAAUAUUCCGCAAUGGGCUAACGCCUGACGGAGCAAUCUCGCAUGGAUGAUGAAGGUUCUUGGAUUGUAAAAUCCUUUCGGCGAUCAAGAAUAAGUUGAUAGGGAAAAU
rnacentral:rRNA from 1 species